AACGAACGCUGGCGGCAUGCCUAACACAUGCAAGUCGAACGGGAUCCUGGUUUCGGCCAGGUGAGAGUGGCGGACGGGUGAGUAACGCGUGGGAACCUGCCCAGUGGUGGGGGAUAACUGCGGGAAACUGCAGCUAAUACCGCAUGAGCCCGAAAGGGGAAAGAUUGAUCGCCAUUGGAGGGGCCCGCGUUCGAUUAGGUAGUUGGUGAGGUAACGGCUCACCAAGCCUUCGAUCGANAGCUGGUCUGAGAGGAUGAUCAGCCACACUGGGACUGAGAUACGGCCCAGACUCCUACGGGAGGCAGCAGUGGGGAAUAUUGGACAAUGGGGGCGAACCCUGAUCCAGCAAUGCCGCGUGAGUGAUGAAGGCCUUCGG
rnacentral:rRNA from 1 species